UACGUAGGGUGCGAGCGUUAAUCGGAAUUACUGGGCGUAAAGCGUGCGUAGGCGGUUUUGUAAGUCAGAUGUGGAAUCCCCGGGCUUAACCUGGGAAUGGCAUUUGGGACUGCAAGGCUGGAGUGUGGCAGAGGAGACUGGAAUUCCCGGUGUAGCAGUGAAAUGCGUAGAUAUCGGGAGGAAUACCGAUGGCGAAGGCAGGUCUCUGGGCUGACACUGACGCUCAUGCACGAAAGCGUGGGGAGCAAACAGG
rnacentral:rRNA from 1 species